rnacentral:misc_RNA from 1 species
GAUGAAGAACGUAGCGAAAUGCGAUACUUGGUGUGAAUUGCAGAAUCCAGUGAAUCAUCGAAUCUUUGAACGCACAUUGCGCCCGCCAGCAUUCUGGCGGGCAUGCCUGUUCGAGCGUCAUUUCAACCCUCGACCUCCCUUUGGGGAAGUCGGCGUUGGGGACCGGCAGCACACCGCCGGCCCUGAAAUGGAGUGGCGGCCCGUCCGCGGCGACCUCUGCGUAGUAAACCAACUCGCACCGGAACCCCGACGUGGCCACGCCGUAAAACACCCAACUUCUGAACGUUGACCUCGAAUCAGGUAGGACUACCCGCUGAACUUAAGCAUAUCAAUAAGCGGAGGA